rnacentral:sRNA from 1 species
UCCGUAGGUGAACCUGCGGAAGGAUCAUUAUCGAGUAAUGCCCCCCUCUGGGGUAGACCUCAAACCCUUUGUUGACCUUUUUCAACUCUUUUAGUGUUGUCUGAAUAGAUAUAUAAAUCAGUCAAAACUUUCAACAACGGAUCUCUUGGUUCUGGCAUCGAUGAAGAACGCAGCAAAAUGCGCUAAGUAAUGUGAAUUGCAGAAUUUAGUGAAUCAUCGAAUCUUUGAACGCACAUUGCGCCCUCUGGUAUUCCGGGGGGCAUGCCUGUUCGAGCGUCAUAACACCCCUCAAGCGUAGCUUGGUCUUGGGCCUUUCGUCAUUGGUGACGGGUCUGAAAAUCAGUGGUGGAUGCCCUUAUGGUUCCUGAUGCAGUAGUUGCUUUCUCAUCUGGAAGGCCUGAGGGUUGUCUUGCCAAAACAUGUGGGCAGCGAUGCUCAAAUAUCCUAUAGUUUGACCUCGGAUCAGGUAGGGAUACCCGCUGAACUUAAGCAUAUCAAUAAGCGGAGGAAAAGAAACCAACAGGGAUUGCCUCAGUAACGGCGAGUGAAGUGGCAACAGCUCAAAUUUGAAAUCUGGCUCUUUCAGAGUCCGAAUUGUAAUUUGUAGAGGAUGCUUCGGCGUCGCUCCGGUCUAAGUUCCUUGGAACAGGACGUCAUAGAGGGUGAGAAUCCCGUCUGUGGCCGGCAGCUUAGCCAUGUGAAGCUCCUUCGACGAGUCGAGUUGUUUGGGAAUGCAGCUCUAAAUGGGUGGUAAAUUUCAUCUAAAGCUAAAUACUGGCCAGAGACCGAUAGCGAACAAGUAGAGUGAUCGAAAGAUGAAAAGCACUUUGGAAAGAGAGUUAAACAGUACGUGAAAUUGUUGAAAGGGAAACGCUUGAAGU